GAAGGAUACAGUUCCCAUCCUCCAGUGCAGUUUUUGGAGCCAUGUUAUUGAGUCUGUCCACCGGGAUGUGAGUGAAAGGAGAAGUAUCAGCAGCAAAAUGUGGCAGAAAGUGUGUCACACAGACCUGGGUUCAAGUCCUGACUUGGCCACUGCAUCAUGCGAGGGUGAAAACACCAAAGAUGGAAAGAAUGGAGAAGAAAAGACAGAAAACAGACUUUUGGUCAUAAUGUUGAGCCACUGGAGUGAUCUUUACAGAAAGCCUGCUCUACCUCUGAACUUUUGGAUAUGAC